UCGUCAAGUAUCUCUCCCCUCCACAGAGUAGUCGACGCCCGCCGGUGGGACGCGGAGCCCUUCCUGGGCCGUCUAGUGAUCGUGGUCCACGCCGCCUUCCUCGAGGCGGGCUUCAUCGUACGCCGCCGCGGGGACCCGUCGCGUUGCCGGCUUCCGACGGAGGCAGGCGCGACGGCCUCGACCCUGUCCUUGGAGUACACUGCGCUGCAACUGCUGCCCCGGCACGACAUGGACGGUGCCGCGCUGAGGAUAUGCACCGACGGGCAGUGUUUCCUCUUCUACGUGCAAGUAAGCUCUGUCCGGAGGACCGGCGGCACGUACUGGGCGUGCCUCGACGUGCUCUCCGCCGCGUCGCUCCUAUCUGGCGGUCUGGACGACACGGGGCGCCAGCUGCUCGGGACGGCCUCCACGCUCUGGAGGACGGUCAUCGACGGGCUCUGCCGGCGCCUCCUCUCGGACCUAUGCCGCGAGCACGGCGUGGUGCCCGGACGAGCCCCCACACUCAUGUCCCUCCCGAGCGACGCCAUGCUGGCGAUCCUGGCGAGGCUCCCGGACGGGAAGGACCUCUUGAGGGUGGAGAGCACCUGCACGGAGCUGAGGCGCCUUGUGGGCGGCCGAGACCGAGACCGCGAGCUCUGGCUGCCCAGGUACAAGGCGCUGGCACGGAACACGCAGUGCUGGUCGCUCCGCGGCGGCUCCGACGAGGAAUUGCGUGGGACGAGCUGGAAGGAGAUGUUCGUGUGGGCCACGCAACUUGCCUUUGAGUAG
rnacentral:rRNA from 1 species